rnacentral:rRNA from 1 species
GACGAACGCUGGCGGCGUGCUUAACACAUGCAAGUCGAACGGAAAGGCCCUGCUUUUGUGGGGUGCUCGAGUGGCGAACGGGUGAGUAACACGUGAGUAACCUGCCCUUGACUUUGGGAUAACUUCAGGAAACUGGGGCUAAUACCGGUUAGGAGCUCCGGCGGCAGGGUGGGGGUUGGAAAGUUUCGGCGGUUGGGGAUGGACUCGCGGCUUAUCAGCUUGUUGGUGGGGUAGUGGCUUACCAAGGCUUUGACGGGUAGCCGGCCUGAGAGGGUGACCGGCCACAUUGGGACUGAGAUACGGCCCAGACUCCUACGGGAGGCAGCAGUGGGGAAUAUUGCACAAUGGGCGGAAGCCUGAUGCAGCAACGCCGCGUGCGGGAUGACGGCCUUCGGGUUGUAAACCGCUUUCGCCUGUGACGAAGCGUGAGUGACGGUAAUGGGUAAAGAAGCACCGGCUAACUACGUG